rnacentral:rRNA from 1 species
UACAGAGGUCCCAAGCGUUGUUCGGAUUCACUGGGCGUAAAGGGUGCGUAGGCGGUCGGGUAAGUCUGAUGUGAAAUCUCACAGCUUAACUGUGAAACUGCAUUGGAUACUAUCCGGCUCGAGGAAUGGAGGGGAGACUGGAAUACUUGGUGUAGCAGUGAAAUGCGUAGAUAUCAAGUGGAACACCAGUGGCGAAGGCGGCUUGCCAGAACGCGCUCGACGGUGAGGGAUGAAAGCUGGGGGAGCAAACCGG